CGCAAAACAAUAUAGAUAAUGAUAUAGAUCGAGAAAUAAUAGAAGACAAUUUUUUAAAUGACUUUGCGGGCGGUUCGAUCACAGAUUCACAAAACGAUAUAGAACGAGAAAUAGUAAACGAUAAUUCUUUAAACGACUUCACGAGCGUUACGGCCACAGCAUUAUUAGAAACGACGGCUGCCGAUUCAGUCUUAGUAACGGAUAAUAUUGAAAGAACACCUCUACGUCGUGGAAGACCUCCUCGCAUACGUGGUCGCAAUC